GACGAACGCUGGCGGCGUGCUUAACACAUGCAAGUCGAGCGGUAAGGCCCUUUCGGGGGUACACGAGCGGCGAACGGGUGAGUAACACGUGGGUGACCUGCCCUUAGCUCUGGGAUAAGCCUGGGAAACUGGGUCUAAUACCGGAUAUGACUCCAUGACGCAUGUUGUGGGGUGGAAAGCCUUGUGCGGCUAGGGAUGGGCCCGCGGCCUAUCAGCUUGUUGGUGGGGUGAUGGCCACCAAGGCGACGACGGGUAGCCGGCCUGAGAGGGCGACCGGCCACACUGGGACUGAGACACGGCCCAGACUCCUACGGGAGGCAGCAGUGGGGAAUCCUGCGCAAUGGGCGAAAGCCUGACGCAGCGACGCCGCGUGGGGAUGACGGCCUCGGUU
rnacentral:rRNA from 1 species